rnacentral:lncRNA from 1 species
UGCUGGGAAAUGCAAGCACAAUGAAGCACAUUGGAGUGUCUAUCAGCUUUCCCAGAAUCCUCUUCUCCAAGGGAAAACUGCAUUCCAAAGCAGUGUGCAAAUGAUUUGGUCAUUGUCUUCUCUUUAGGAUUUUCUUCUCUGUUGGAACCGGAAGGGAAUGGAGAUCCUAUGAACCAGUUAUUAUUCCUGCUCCCGGCUGAAGCCCCAGGAGGCAUUUCUUGGCCUGCGCUGAAAUCCUUGGGGCCCUGUAUAGAUCUCAGCACUUCCCAGAGCUUCCACUUCUCUGUCUACUGGAUGGUCUUCUUUCAUCAAAACUUACCUUUUACAAUGAUCCUCCGUUAGAAAAGGACAUUAGAAUUCCUUUUCUUUCUUGGUUCCUGGUUUAUUUGGGUAAACUACAGCCUAUGCUUUGUUGCCUGGAGAGCAAAGGGGAACGAGAGGAGAGGACUCUAUUUAACCAACCUCCAAUUGUGCAGACUUAUCCAGGACAGAGUCACUGGCUUUGGACUCCUAAAGGACAAACAUCAGAUAGGAGAAAACACUACUCUAAUUGAAAGGCAGCUCCACAGAUUCCCAGGUAAGGA